GACAGAGGUCCCGAGCGUUAGGCGGAAUCACUGGGCUUAAAGCGUGUGUAGGCGGAUUUGUAAGUACCUUGUGAAAUCCCACGGCUCAACCGUGGAACUGCUUGGUAUACUGCUUAUCUUGGGCCAUCUAGGGGCGAGCGGAACAAACGGUGGAGCGGUGAAAUGCGUAGAUAUCGUUUGGAACGCCAAUGGUGAAAACAGCUCGCUGGGGAUGUGCCGACACUGAGACACGAAAGCCAGGGGAGCGAACGGG
rnacentral:rRNA from 1 species